UAGGGAAUCUUCGGCAAUGGGGGGAACCCUGACCGAGCAACGCCGCGUGAGUGAAGAAGGUUUUCGGAUCGUAAAGCUCUGUUGUUAAGGAAGAACGAGUGUGAGAAUGGAAAGUUCAUACUGUGACGGUACUUAACCAGAAAGGGACGGCUAACUACGUGCCAGCAGCCGCGGUAAUACGUAGGUCCCGAGCGUUGUCCGGAUUUAUUGGGCGUAAAGCGAGCGCAGGCGGUUAGAUAAGUCUGAAGUGAAAGGCAGUGGCUCAACCAUUGUAGGCUUUGGAAACUGUUUAACUUGAGUGCAGAAGGGGGGAGUGGAAUUCCAUGUGUAGCGGUGAAAUGCGUAGAUAUAUGGAGGAACACCGGUGGCGAAAGCGGCUCUCUGGUCUGUAACUGACGCUGAGGCUCGAAAGCGUGGGGAGCGAACAGG
rnacentral:rRNA from 1 species